CAGUGGCGUACGGGUGCGUAACGCGUAUGCAACCUACCUCUAACAGGGGGACAACAGCGGGAAACUGCUGCUAAUACCCCGUAACGCAAGGGCACGGCAUCGUGAUAUUGCUAAAGGAGCGAUCCGGUUAGAGAUGGGCAUGCGUUCGAUUAGCUAGUUGGCGGGGUAACGGCCCACCAAGGCGACGAUCGAUAGGGGCUCUGAGAGGAGAAUCCCCCACACUGGCACUGAGAUACGGGCCAGACUCCUACGGGAGGCAGCAGUAGGGAAUAUUGGGCAAUGGAGGAAACUCUGACCCAGCCAUGCCGCGUGCAGGAAGAAGGCCCUCUGGGUUGUAAACUGCUUUUGAUAGGGAAGAAAGAGGUUAUGCGUAACCAGUUGACGGUACCUAUCGAAUAAGCACCGGCUAACUACGUGCCAGCAGCCGCGGUAAUACGUAGGGUGCAAGCGUUGUCCGGAUUUAUUGGGUUUAAAGGGUGCGUAGGCGGUGAAUUAAGUCAGUGGUGAAAGACGAUCGCUCAACGAUUGCAGUGCCAUUGAUACUGGUUCACUUGAGUAAUGCAGAGGUGGCCGGAAUUGACCGUGUAGCGGUGAAAUGCAUAGAUAUGGUCAAGAACACCGAUUGCGAAGGCAGGUCACUGGACAUUUACUGACGCUGAGGCACGAAAGUGUGGGGAUCAAACAGGAUUAGAUACCCUGGUAGUCCACACUGUAAACGAUGAUAACUCGCUGUUGGCCUUUUGGGUCAGCGGCUUAGGGAAACCGUUAAGUUAUCCACCUGGGGAGUACGCCGGCAACGG
rnacentral:rRNA from 1 species